GACGAACGCUGGCGGCGUGCUUAACACAUGCAAGUCGAACGAUGAAGCUGGAGCUUGCUCCGGUGGAUUAGUGGCGAACGGGUGAGUAACACGUGAGCAAUCUGCCCUUCACUCUGGGAUAACUGCGGGAAACUGUAGCUAAUACCGGAUACGAGACCUUGGGGCAUCCCAGGGUCUGGAAAGAAUUUCGGUGAAGGGUGAGCUCGCGGCCUAUCAGCUAGUUGGUGAGGUAAUGGCUCACCAAGGCGACGAAGGGUAGCCGGCCUGAGAGGGUGACCGGCCACACUGGGUCUGAGACACUGCCCAGACUCCUACAGGAGGCAGCAGUGGGGAAUAUUGCACAAUGGGCGAAAGGCUUAUGCAGCAACGUCGCGUGAGGGAUGAAGGCCUUCGGGUUGUAAACCUCUUUUAGUAGGGAAGAAGCGCAAGUGACGGUACCUACAGAAAAAGCACCGGCUAACUACGUGCCAGCCGCCGCAGUAA
rnacentral:rRNA from 1 species